rnacentral:rRNA from 1 species
GAUGAACGCUGGCGGCGUGCCUAAUACAUGCAAGUCGAGCGAACGGACGAGAAGCUUGCUUCUCUGAUGUUAGCGGCGGACGGGUGAGUAACACGUGGAUAACCUACCUAUAAGACUGGGAUAACUUCGGGAAACCGGAGCUAAUACCGGAUAAUAUUUUGAACCGCAUGGUUCAAAAGUGAAAGACGGUCUUGCUGUCACUUAUAGAUGGAUCCGCGCUGCAUUAGCUAGUUGGUAAGGUAACGGCUUACCAAGGCAACGAUGCAUAGCCGACCUGAGAGGGUGAUCGGCCACACUGGAACUGAGACACGGUCCAGACUCCUACGGGAGGCAGCAGUAGGGAAUCUUCCGCAAUGGACGAAAGCCUGACGGAGCAACGCCGCGUGAGUGAUGAAGGUCUUCGGAUCGUAAAACUCUGUUAUUAGGGAAGAACAUAUGUGUAAGUAACUGUGCACAUCUUGACGGUACCUAAUCAGAAAGCCACGGCUAACUACGUGCCAGCAGCCGCGGUAAUACGUAGGUGGCAAGCGUUAUCCGGAAUUAUUGGGCGUAAAGCGCGCGUAGGCGGUUUUUUUAAGUCUGAUGUGAAAGCCCACGGCUCAACCGUGGAGGGUCAUUGGAAACUGGAAAACUUGAGUGCAGAAGAGGAAAGUGGAAUUCCAUGUGUAGCGGUGAAAUGCGCAGAGAUAUGGAGGAACACCAGUGGCGAAGGCGACUUUCUGGUCUGUAACUGACGCUGAUGUGCGAAAGCGUGGGGAUCAAACAGGAUUAGAUACCCUGGUAGUCCACGCCGUAAACGAUGAGUGCUAAGUGUUAGGGGGUUUCCGCCCCUUAGUGCUGCAGCUAACGCAUUAAGCACUCCGCCUGGGGAGUACGACCGCAAGGUUGAAACUCAAAGGAAUUGACGGGGACCCGCACAAGCGGUGGAGCAUGUGGUUUAAUUCGAAGCAACGCGAAGAACCUUACCAAAUCUUGACAUCCUUUGACAACUCUAGAGAUAGAGCCUUCCCCUUCGGGGGACAAAGUGACAGGUGGUGCAUGGUUGUCGUCAGCUCGUGUCGUGAGAUGUUGGGUUAAGUCCCGCAACGAGCGCAACCCUUAAGCUUAGUUGCCAUCAUUAAGUUGGGCACUCUAAGUUGACUGCCGGUGACAAACCGGAGGAAGGUGGGGAUGACGUCAAAUCAUCAUGCCCCUUAUGAUUUGGGCUACACACGUGCUACAAUGGACAAUACAAAGGGCAGCGAAACCGCGAGGUCAAGCAAAUCCCAUAAAGUUGUUCUCAGUUCGGAUUGUAGUCUGCAACUCGACUACAUGAAGCUGGAAUCGCUAGUAAUCGUAGAUCAGCAUGCUACGGUGAAUACGUUCCCGGGUCU